UGGGGAAUCUUGCGCAAUGGGCGAAAGCCUGACGCAGCAACGCCGCGUGGGGGAUGAAGGCCUUCGGGUUGUAAACCCCUUUCAGCAGGAACGAAGUUGACGGUACCUGCAGAAGAAGCACCGGCCAACUACGUG
rnacentral:rRNA from 1 species